UACGGAGGGGGCUAGCGUUGUUCGGAAUUACUGGGCGUAAAGCGCGCGUAGGCGGACCUGCAAGUCGGGGGUGAAAGCCCGAGGCUCAACCUCGGAACUGCCUUUGAUACUGGGUAUCUCGAGUCCGAGAGAGGUGAGUGGAAUUCCGAGUGUAGAGGUGAAAUUCGUAGAUAUCGGGAGGAACACCGGUGGCGAAGGCGGCUCUCUGGACCGACACUGACGCUGAGGCGCGAAAGCGUGGGGAGCAAACAGG
rnacentral:rRNA from 1 species